rnacentral:rRNA from 1 species
AUAGAGGCCUACCAUGGUGGUAACGGGUAACGGGGUGUUAGGGCACGACACCGGAGAGGGAGCCUGAGAAACGGCUACCACAUCCAAGGAUGGCAGCAGGCGCGCAAAUUACCCAAUCCCGACACGGGGAGGUAGUGACAAUAAAUAACAAUACGGGGUUCUUUCGGAUCUCGUAAUUGGAAUGAGUACAAUUUAAAUCUCUUAACGAGGAACAAUUGGAGGGCAAGUCUGGUGCCAGCAGCCGCGGUAAUUCCAGCUCCAAUAGCGUAUAUUAAAGUUGUUGCAGUUAAAAAGCUCGUAGUUGAAUUUCGGGGUUAGUAGGUUGGUCAUGCCUCUGGUAUGUACUGGUCUCACUGAUUCCUCCUUCCUUAUGAACCGUAAUGCCAUUAAUUUGGUGUUGCGGGGAAUUUGGACUGUUACUUUGAAAAAAUUAGAGUGUUUAAAGCAAGCUAACGCUUGAAUACAUUAGCAUGGAAUAAUGAAAUAGGACGUUCGAUCUUAUUUUGUUGGUUUCUAGGAUUGACGUAAUGAUUAAUAGGGAUAGUUGGGGGCAUUAGUAUUCAAUUGUCAGAGGUGAAAUUCUUGGAUUUAUUGAAGACAACUACUGCGAAAGCAUUUGCCAAGGAUGUUUUCAUUAAUCAAGAACGAAAGUUAGGGGAUCGAAGACGAUCAGAUACCGUCGUAGUCUUAACCAUAAACUAUGCCGACUAGGGAUCGGAUGA